rnacentral:rRNA from 1 species
UUGUACACACCGCCCGUCGCUACUACCGAUUGAAUGGCUCAGUGAGGCUUCCGGACUGGCCCAGGGAGGUCGGCAACGACCACCCAGGGCCGGAAAGUUAUCCAAACUCGGUCAUUUAGAGGAAGUAAAAGUCGUAACAAGGUCUCCGUUGGUGAACCAGCGGAGGGAUCAUUA